GGUGUCUCUGCCUUCACGCUCUGGAGUCUGGCCCAGGUUCACCAUUGGGCUGAGCGGAAGCUACUGAGCUGUGGGGUGAAGGGUGCCUGCUCCUACUAGCCAUCUCUUUGCCUGGCUCAUUAACUUGGCAAGUCAGCACACAGCCCACUGAGGGUCUCGGCUGAAGAGCACGGGUUUUCAAGUCUGCCACACUUCGUUCCGAGUCUCUCCCUGCUCCUUACUAACGAGCCUCCCUCCCUACCUCACCCCCUAACGAGGGGAGAGCCACAGCCCUCAGGAGGGGCGGGGCUGUGUGACGGAGUAGAGCUGGGCGGGGAAGGCGCUUGGUGGCUGCUGCCAGCCCAGGCUCGUGCCGUGCUGGUGGGUGGCUGGGCUUGCACACAGCUGGCGCUGAGCGUCGUUCUGGAGGUGGCUCUGCACUGCCCUCCCCUCCCUUCCGCCUGCUUCAGCUAGGAAAUGCAGCUCCUCCCGAUGAGAGCCGAGGGACCUCCCUCUUUCACUGUUUGAGUCAUUAAUUCACACGCCAAAUGCCAGGACCAGCAGUCUGCUCUGUCCAGUGACUAGGAGCCGUUCACCUCCAGUUCCCCAAGUGUGCAAGGCCCUGAAAUGCCGUUCUUCCUGAAGCCCUCGCCCCUUUCCUCCCUCCUGCUUUGCAAGCUAAAUGGAAUUAUAUAUAUGUUUUGCCAUCGUUUGCCUUAGAUGGUGUCUCCCCAAGAAUCAUGGGUAAUCUCAGAUGCAAAUGGCCUAUGCAAAUCCAGCUGCUGGUAAAAUGAGGAGUAAGCCCGAGGCAGCCGCAGUGGCAGACUGUAACCGGGAUCUCCACAGAGCCUCAAUCUACACAGGGUCCACGAGAGGAAGCGGAGGAGGAAGACUCGUUAGUUGCUUGGUCACCUUCACCUUGAAAGGAGCUGUGCAGCUCGAGUCCAACCUACACUCUUACCUUCGUGUUCGUGCACAGCCUCACUCUGGUCUCACUGUGUUCGAUUUUCUCCCGUAUCCCUGAUCCUGUGCGCCCACGCUCACAUCCCUAAUAUAUGUCCUUAGAUAUGGAUGCUUCCUGUAAAAUAUAUGGUGUUUAUCGUGUGAAUGUGUUUUAAUUUACAUAAAUUGUAUUGGGCUAUAGAUCUCAUUCUGCUGCUUAAUUCUUUCACUUAACACUGUGUUUUUAGAUCUACCUGCGUCGCUGUGCAUAAAUCUCAUUUGAGAUGCCUCUGAGUGCUGCGGUGGUUUCCAGAGAGACUCUUGCUAGGCUUCUGAUGGGCACCGAGCUGCCUCCUUUCCCCCGCUGACGGCUGACCCCCGGGACGCACG
rnacentral:lncRNA from 1 species